UACAGGGGGUGCAAACGUUGCUCGGAAUUAUUGGGCGUAAAGCGCGCGUAGGCGGCUACCUAAGUCGGAUGUGAAAGCCCCUGGCUUAACUGGGGAAGUGCACCCGAAACUGGGUAGCUAGAGUGCAAAAGAGGGUCGCGGAAUUCCCGGUGUAGAGGUGAAAUUCGUAGAUAUCGGGAGGAGCACCGGUGGCGAAGGCGGCGACCUGGGUUGACACUGACGCUGAGGCGCGAAAGCGUGGGGAGCAAACAGG
rnacentral:rRNA from 1 species